GUGUCUUGAGCAGUUAAAAGAUAGAACAGUCUAGUUAAGCGCCAUGUCUCUUUGUCUUUGAUUAACUAUAGCUCUGGAGUUUUUGCAGAUUUUCAAAUAAAACUCAGAGAUUCCUUGUAUGACUCUCUCAAAUCUCUCUUUUGUGGUAUUUCUGGAUCCUUUCCAAGGCAGUAAUGGUAUAUGCCUUUUCUCAAAGUAUGUGGUAUUUUUGGUAUGAGGCAUAGUGAUAUUGCCUUCUCUCUCACCCUACUCUAAUAAGGUCUUGAUAUCUGGAGCUCAUAGGUGGGAGAUAGAUAAUACAUACUUAAGACAUAUAUUGCAUAGUCAAACCAUGGAUCCAGAAGAACAAGUCAAUAAGUCAAAUCAAGAUGUGCAUGUGUGGCGAAUAAAUGGUGUAUGGUGAUGAUGGUGAUAACAAUGGUGAAAGUCUAAUUUUACUUUUGCUCUUUUAAGGGGAUACAUACCUUUCUUGCACUUUGAAGCUUUUUGAGGAGAAUGAGAUGCUCUACAAUUUCUUUUUCUUUCCUCUCAGGUGGGUAUCUUGUACCCCUAAUUCUACUGUCGGACACUUGUCCAUUUUUACCUCUCGUCUCACUUUUUCUUUUCUUCGAGGUUCCAGGCACUUGCCCCUUUUUAUUUCCUCGUAUCCUUUCUCUUUCUCUUUUUUUUCUUUUUUAGAGCACUCAUCUCCUGAAAUAAUAUAGCAAGUGGCAGUAACCAAGAUAGCUCGAGCAUUUUAUUUCAUAGAUGAAAACAGAAAUAGGAGAAUGUUUUUGGCUAUUCUCUCUCGGAUUAGGAGUAGAAUAAUUUUAGGUGAAUCUGGAGAUGGAAUUGAGUGGAUGUUUAUGGAUGCGUACUUCCAGAGUAGAAGUAGCAUGUAUGAGUGAACGUGCAAGUGAAUCUUGAUUUUAACCGCGUGACAAGUGUUUAUAUUUGGUAACGCCAUCAGGAAAUGAUCCGCAAGCGCACGGAUAUCGGUGAGCACUUCACCCGGGAGGUUAUCCAGAGUAUCGUAUUUAUAUUUUUACCACUGGGAGAAAGCGUGCAUCUGACUAACUAAAUCUAUUGCUACUACCCUUUAGGCUACAAAGAAUGUGACUCGAUGUGAGCGAUGUAUAGAGAAGACUACAACCGUAGUCUCGUUCUAACCUUGGUAAGGAUGAUCUACUGUUCUAUUGGGGAAGCUUACGGAAUCUAGACACCACAAAGGAUGUUCAACCCGCGCCUAUAAACCCUACCUAUCCUGCUAACGAGAUGUGGGAUGCAAAGGUAACUCGGAAAUGUCACGUUCCUCGCUACUACCACGGUCCAGCUAGUCAGGGGAUAUCUAUGAGUACCCUAGCCCAAACACCACGUUUAUGCUAGCAAUGAUUACUCUAAACUCAACCGGAAGAGAUUAAAGUAAACUCAUAACCCAAAGAACAAUAAAACAAGAACUUACUAGAAUUUAGAAGUCGAAUUACUGAAGAAUCCUAGGAGCAAGCCUAGGGUCAGGAGAACUUGAUCCCGUAGGUACAACCUCGGAGUAAACACUGAUAGGCCAGGCUUCCUCCGAUCUACACCUCCACUCUAUCUCUCUCAAUCUAGUAGAGCUUAGAAGAACUAAAUCUACUCUCACAUUGGAUGCUAAGCCCUAAGUCUAUUUAGAGGAGAGGUUAUCCUUCGAGGGCUCCUCUCAACUCUAUGAUGACCUUGUUCUCCUCCAGGGGCCAGGGGGUCUGCUUAUAUAGUCGCCUCUAGUGAAUCUGGGCCGUCGGAUCAAACCGACAUUGAUUGAACGGUUAUCCUUGAUCCUUUAGGUUGGUGGAGCGUAAUCCCCGAAACAAGUCCUGAUUGGACUCUGGGACAGGGCAUGUGCCCUAAGGGGGAGGGUGGGCGCCCUGCCCUCGGGCCUGUUCGCCUUCCCGUUUGUUCCCGUGGCUUCUGGAGUCUUCUAGAUGACAGAAAAUUGUGCGGCAUGUUAAUAUCUCUAUGUAAACCCGACGUGUGGGCCUUUCUUCCGUAUUUCCUGAUAACCCCCUGCAGAAAUAGACAAACACCAAAACUCGUGGAAUUCUGUCAGAUAAAACCCUAAGUCUGUGUGUUGGUGGCAUUUGGAUCCUUUUCUUUAUUUAUUUGAUGAUUAUAUUUGGUACUUAAGGAUCGUCAGCAAACUCCCCCAAGCUUACCUCUUGCUCGUCCUUGAGCAAGGAUAGACUCAAAAGUUUCUGUAGUGGUUUCAUGCCUUAAAAGUACACAUGCGUUCAAGCAAGAUCUCAUCUCUGAGUUAGAGUGAACUGUUAAGACUUAAAACUUACUCAUUUUACCUUUCACCAUGGGGCUUCAACCAUCACUUGUGUCUUCAAUAGUUAAAAGAUAGAACGGUCAAGUCAAGCGCCAUGUUUCUUGUUCUUGAUCAACUAUAGCUCUGGAGUUUUUGUAGAUUUUCAAAUAAAACUCAAAGAUUCCUUGUAUGACUAUCUCAUAUCUCUCUUUUGUGGUAUUUCUGGAUCCUUACCAAGGCAGUAAUGGUAUAUGCCUUCUCUCAAACUAUGUGGUAUUUUUGGUAUAAGGCAUAGUGAUGUUGCCUUCUCUCUCACCCUACUCUAAUAAGGUUUUGAUAUCUGGAGCUCAUAGGUGGGAGACAGUUAAUACAUACUUACAAGACAUUUAUUGCAUAGUCAAACCAUGGAUCUAGAGAAACAAGUCAAUAAGUCAAAUCAAGAUGUGCAUGUGUGGCGAAUGAAUGGUGUAUGGUGAUGAUGGUGAUAACAAUGGUGAAAUUCUAAUGCUACUUUUGCUCUUUUGAGGGGAUACAUACCUUUCUUGCACUUUGAAGCUUUUUGAGGAGAAUGAGAUGCUCUAUAUUUUCUUUUUCUUUUCUCUCAGGUGGGUAUCUUUGUACCCCUAAUUCUACUGUCGGACACUUGUCCAUUUUUACCUCUCGUCUCACUCUUUCUUUUCUUCGAGGUUCCGGGCACUUGCCCCUUUUUAUUUCCUCGUAUCUCUUUUUUUAUUAUUUUUUUAUUUUUUAGAGAACUCAUCUCCUUAAAUAAUAUAGCAAGUGGUAGUAACCAAGAUAACUCGAGCAUUUAUUUUACAGGGAAAAACAGAAAUGUUUUUGGCUAUUCUCUCCUGGAUUAGGAGUAGAAUACUUUUGGGUGAAUCUGGAGAUAGAAAUGAGUGGAUGUAUGUGGAUGCGUACUUUCGAAGUAGAAGCAGCAUGUAUAAGUGAACGUGCAAGUGAAUCUUGAUUUUAACCGCAUGACAAGCUCCUAAGGGUCUACACAGCUUGACCACACUCAAUGCUCAUAAGUAGUAAAAAGUAAAUGUGUGGCUCAAAGUCUAGCAAGCAUGUAUAUAUGGUUGUGGUAGGAAUUUAAACUCUCAUCAUAUAGGAACUCAUCAUGUGUUAUUUUAAAGAUUUUCAAAGAUAAAAUUCUCCAGAAUUCUAGCAUCUCUAGGAAUAGAUAAACUACAACUCAACCUUCCCAUAUCGUAUCCGUUAACAACUUAGACUUUAGAUCAAGUACUCUUCCCAUAAUUUCAGGUUUAGAGCUGGUUUAAAUUAUAACAGUUAUGCCUAAACUUGAGAGAGAACUCAAAUUUGAAAACUAGGUACAUGGCAGAGCAACUAUUCAUCAUUUCCAUGUGAGAGGUUCAUAGCAAACUUUAUUUAUUUAUUUAUUUAGCAAACUAAGCAAACAUAUAUAUAUGAGCAUAAAAUCUUUAUUUUGGUUUUUAUGAUUAUGCAUCUUUUUAUUAUUUGAGUAAAGUAUAAACAAGAGUAGAACACUUAGCUGGAUAAAUGGGGGUGCUCUCCCCCAAGCUGGAUUUUGCCGUAAUUUCUUCUGAUGUAGCUAGCAGGUGACGGAGGUGUAUUUGAAUGUCAGCAGCACCCUGACAACAAUUACUAUGUCCUCCGUCGGCUAGUCUUCUUUGAUCCUUGAAUUCUGUGGAGCUCAAAUAGACAAGAAAGCUUUGUGGAACUGGUUAAGUGUUAGCAUAAAUAUCUUGCCUUUAUUAUGUUGAGUCUCCUCAAUAAAUGUUACUCUCUUUGGUAGGAUCACAAUCUUAUUUUCAUUUUUAUAGAGCAGAAAAAAUAUUUAUUUUAUUUUUAUGCCACCAUAGUGAAUGUACUUAUGGGUUUUAGGCCACUCGUAUACUCACAUGGGGCUUACUAUUUUUUAACAUUUUUAUUUUCUUUUCAAGAUAGUAUGAACCCGAUUAACUAAACAAGCUAUUUAAAGAAAAUAAAUAAUUGAAGGGAAGGUGACAACUACCAAGUUUACCUCAUGGCACGGCGUUUGGCGUUUUUAAGUCCUCCCAUGUGGACUCCUUGUGUUUUCAGUCGUCCUAGGAUUCAGGCGGUGCCUCCUCUUCUAGUACAACUCUCUUCUCUAUCCACACCUGAUUUGGUGCUACGGUCUCCUCUGGACAAUCCUGUUCAAGAUGUAUAUCUUUCAACCUUAUUACAUCUCCUUUGUAGUCUGCCCAUCCGUCCUUGAUGAUUUGCCUCCUCUAGUUUCGGUUGUGUCACCUUCUUCUCAUCCUGAUCUGCUUAGAAUCUUCAACUAUAUAAUUAGAAUCAUUAAAGUAGUGGCGUACCUUCUCAGAGGGGAAGUGCAUGUGGACUUCUCGGUUCCAAUAUAGAUGAUAACUUUGAUAGUGUUGUGGAACAGUCUUCCAAGGAUGAUGGGUGGAUCGUACUCGUCUUCUCCCAUGUCAAUGACCUGAAAAUCAUCUGGAGCUGAAUGUAUGUUGGUUGUAGGGGCAUGGUUCCAUGCAGGAGCUGAUAAGUGAGUGCGGCUAUUAUGUUGACGUCAGAUCCGGUGUCGUAGAGUGUCUUCUGAAAAGAGUAUCCGUUGGUUGUGCACUCGAUGCUUGGAACACCAGGGUCGUCCGUGUUCAUCCUUUAGGUGCAUCAUUUGAUUAGGUGUGGGCCUUGACAUCUGCACCUCUUGAUACGGUGUCACCCAUGUUCUUCGUUUGUCCAGUAGUUCGAGAUGUGGCAUUGGCAGCAUCCUGCUCAGUGUGUUUGUGCUCGUAGAUCCAAGUUCUUCACUUCGUGGAAUCUAGGAGUUGUAAAACUCCUUCAAGUUUUGCUCGAAGUGUACCUGCUCAUAGAGACAAGGCAGAGAUCAAGUGCAUGGGCCCUAUUGGUGAAAAACACCAACAGAACCAAAAGUGUAUUUGUUCUUCUCUAACCUUAAGCAUGGUGAGCAAGACAAAGUUGAUGGAUAAUAAGAUCAUGAGUGUAUUAUUUGAAACAUUUGUCAGAUCAGAUUGCUCAACCCAAUGGGAAGAUAAUCCAUCCAUAUUUAUGUUUUGUUUAUAUCUUCUAAAGAUUGAAUGUGCAACAUUUUAGCUUAUAUGAUUAGGAGUGUGGGAUCACGAAGGUAGUACUAGGAACAAAGAUUAAAGGACUAAACAUGCUGAAUCAGUUGGGUUGGUUAAUUUGGAGUUACAAAUCAUACAUGUUUGUCUCUUUAUUUAUGUGAAUACCGGAACCAAGGAGAAGCUUAUAAAACUAAUAGUCACAUAUCUUAAGAUGUUACCUUAAUUGAAGAGUGAUCGUACAGUAUCACCUUGUGCAAGCUUUCCUUUCUUAGCGGUUGUGCACCGUGUUUGUGGCACUCUUUGUCUCGUUCCAUGGAUCAUCUCUCUAUUAGAAUGAGCUAUGUCUUCCUUGUGCAAAUUGUUAAACUUCAUGUGUCUCCUUUGUCUCCAAUGUGAGUUCGUAUCUCAGGACUUCCCAGGUUGAUAUUGAAAGUUUUCCUGCAGGGGUUAGUCCGACAAAAUAUACCAAUGUCUACUCAAGCAGUUUUUAGUUCAGUAACCAAACUAAACUCCAUAUCUAAUCAGAUUAAGGAAGGCUUUUAACCUAAGCGCCAUGCUUAAUUUAAAAGCCAAUAGAAGUAUGUGCAGUACUUCCAAACUAACACUUACUAGGAUAAACAAAGGUAGCCUGAUGGCUUUUAUAGAGAUCUACUCAAGUGGAGAUGAAGUAGUGUGAUUAGUAUUUAACAAAUUGAGCAUGUCUCAAAGGUAGGGACAACCAACACAGCAACAUGGCAAAUGAUGUUUUUAUGUAAGGUAUUUUCCCCAAGCUUGAAUUUUGCAAAAUUCAAGAUUGGAUGAAUUUAAUUCAAUGUUGCAUGAUGAUUGGCAUACCUUGUGCUUGUCAUUCCUCAGAUCUUCUUGCUCUAAUCCUAGAGAGGUUAGUGACACGAAUACCCAACGGAAUAUUUCUACAAUUAUCUUUAUAUGCUCAAUGCACAAGGCAAUGUUGCAAAUAAUUAAAAGUUCAUGUUACGAUUUGAUAAGUGCUUGUUUUAGGACACUAAGCUUGUCCUUGGGAAACCAUCAAAUUAUGUUGGCGAAAUGGUUUCCCCUCAAACACUGACCUAUAAUGAGAUCUGCAAUAUUUACUAUAGACAUAUGCAUCGACAACCGCCCUUUUAAAGUUUAUAUAAAUAGAAAGGAUGAGGGGGUAGGAGAUCUUAAUUGUGGUAUGGUUGAAGAGACCAAUUGAUUGGGGAGAUGUUUUAUAUGAGCAAGGACUUGGUGAGGUAUUUAUGAAAUAACUUCCAUGGUCACUUUUGUUUCUCUCAUUCUCAAACUCCAAGGAUGAUUCUUCAUGAAUGCUUAAAAUUCCUCUAGGAUUCUCUCUCAAGUUUGUUUUAUCCAUCCAUUCAAUGGUGAUAGGACAUGGACUUUUAAUGCCCUCUAGCCAUUGAUGUUGCUCUUCUCGAUCCUCCUUGUGGUCUUGGUGACUCUUAUGCUUGGGAUGUCUAGAUAGAUUCAUAGGAUCAUCGAGAGGUUCAAGAGAAAGAGCAUAGUAGAAAUUAUUAGGCUCAAGGAUGGGUUUAAAAAUAGGUUCGAAUGAGUCAUCAAAAGUGGGCGUAGAAGGGGAGAAGAUGAUAUUGUCUUCUAAAUGGCUUCGCUCUCCUUCUAUUGCAUCACUUAAGAUGCCAUCCUUGAGUCUUUCGAGAUGUCCAUCAAAGGGAUUGGAUUUGAGAUGCACUCUAAGAGAUUCCUUCUUAGGAAGGUUCAGAUUAUAUGUACUCAAAGGUCUCUUAUGAAGCAGGAAGUUUAAGCUCAUCCCAAAAUGACUUUCCAAAGGUAGAAUUUCUUCUUCUCUUAGAUGAUUUUGGAGCACUACUAGUUUUGGUUGGAUAGCCGAAUUAUGGGAUUGAAAUGUUUGGAAAUCGGCUAUUGAAACUUCCUUUCCUCGUCUGGGAGAUGAUUCCUUCUCUAUCUCUAGGAUUUUUUAUGAAGACUAGUGCAAGAAGGAUGUCCACGAAUGAAGACAUACCUUGCUUUACUAACAGAUAAAGAAAGAAAAACUCUACCAAAGGUUAUAUGAUUAAGACCAAUGUGAAAAUAUCGAGGAAAAACAUGGUCUUGUAGGGUUAGGUCUAAACCAGAAUUUAUAGAAAGAUUAAAAGAUUCCCUAGUUGUAGCUAAAAGUUCAUUAUCUUCUUGAUUAAAAGAUAGGACCUCGGCUAUAUAAAAGGGUUGGUUUUGACCUAUUGCAAUCAACUCCGGACACAGAUCAUAAUUAGGGGCAAAGAAAGGACUUGUUGACUCCCAUGGUCUAUGGCUGGUCUUCGAAGGUGCAAAAAAUUCAAUAAUAGGUGUGGAAUUUGAGUUAUCCAUAAACAUGGAAAAAAUAACAAGAUAAAAGAAUAAAAGUAUAAAAGUAUAAUACAAGAUAAUAUCAAGACUCAAAGUUAUCUCAGCAAACCAUCUUUCUCCCCGGAAACGGCGCCAGAAAUGCUUGUUGAUAUUGGGUAACGCCAUCAAGAAAUGAUCCGCAAGCGCAUGGAUAUCGGUGAGCAUUUCACCCGGGAGGUUAUCCAGAGUAUCGUAUUUAUAUUUUUACCACUAGGAGAAAGCGUGCAUCUAACUAACCAAAUCUAUUGCUACUACCCUUUAGGCUACAAACAAUGUGAUUCGAUGUGAGCGAUGUAUAGAGAAGACUACAAC
rnacentral:lncRNA from 1 species